rnacentral:rRNA from 1 species
CCUACGGGAGGCAGCAGUGAGGAAUAUUGGUCAAUGGGCGGGAGCCUGAACCAGCCAAGUCGCGUGAGGGAAGAAGGUACUGAGUAUUGUAAACCUCUUUUGCCAGGGGACAAAGGCGGCCACGGGUGGCCGUAAGAGGGUACCUGGAGAAAAAGCAUCGGCUAACUCCGUGCCAGCAGCCGCGGUAAUACGGAGGAUGCGAGCGUUAUCCGGAUUUAUUGGGUUUAAAGGGAGCGUAGGCGGGCGUUCAAGUCAGCUGUAAAAUCGCGCGGCUCAACCGCGCCCCGCAGUUGAAACUGGACGCCUUGAGUUCACAACAGGCAGGCGGAAGUCGUGGUGUAGCGGUGAAAUGCAUAGAUAUCACGAGGAACCCCGAUUGCGAAGGCAGCCUGCCGGGGUGCGACUGACGCUGAGGCUCGAAGGUGCGGGUAUCAAACAGGAUUAGAUACCCUUGUAGUC